rnacentral:lncRNA from 1 species
UUAUAUUUUCUAUAUAAUAUAGAAGCAAAACUCAAAAUCUCUAAAAAUUUUGUAUACCAAAUUCAACAGUUUCCCUAUUUUAAAAAUUCAAAUAUUUAUUACAACAACAAUCCUCAUUUAGUACAAUAUAAUAAUAAGUAUAAAAAUAUAAAAGUUUAUUUUUUAGAAUAAAUUAUGUUUUCUUUCUUAUCUUUGAGCCUUGAAAAAUGUGCAACAUUCAAUUCUUUUUUCCCUAAAUAUUUUUAGGGAAUCUGUAAAUAUAGGGAAUCAAAACUUCUUUUUCAUCUCUUUCUCUAUUUUAGGGAAUGAGAUAGGAAAGUUGUUAGAGUGGAAAAUGACCCUAUAUUUCCUAAAAUAGAGAAAAUUAAAGAAUUUAGGGAAUCUGUUGGACUUGCUCUAAAGAGGCAUGUAGCAGUGCUUUGGACCUGAAGAUCGUACCGUGUCAUGAAAAGUAUCUGGGUCUUCCAACGGUUACUGGUAGGAAUUAUAAAAAAAGUUGUUCAAAGGACUUGCAGAAAAGUGUGGAGGAAAGUUCAACGCUAGGAAGGCAAAAUAUUGUCUAAUAUUGUCCAAGGGUGGCUCAAGGAAGUUAUGAUCAAAGCAGUAGCUCAAUCGAUCCCCUCCUAUACUAUUCCCCCAAAAUACCCAUAAUCUUAACGGAUGUGCCUCGUUGACGAGAGCCGCGCACCCGUCCAUCUCCGCUGUCCAUUUGACGCGGACUUUUGACUUUUUGAAAGUGGACGGCGGAGAUGGACGGGUGCGCGGCGCACCCAGGUGCGCUGUAUAAUUUUCACUCGUUGACAAGCGAAGCUAUGGAAAAACUUGGUCGCCAUGCUUCAACCAAUUUACUCCUGAUCUUUGACACCACAUCAUUUCUUCUUUCUCUAAAACCUCAUCCAAGUUCAACUUCAUUGCUCUUCGUUGUUGCAUAAUUUCAACCGAGGGGUAACUGCGUUGAAGAGUAUCCGAUUCUUCCCUCAAUCUUCUCACUGUCUUUUUUAUAUUACCAAAUUUUUCUCUUUCCCAAUGUUUAAGAGCAGCAGCAACAUAUCUCAGUAUGUCUUCCAAAUCCAGAUUACCAUAUCUAUACCAGCUCUAACUAAUGAUAUUUUAUAAAGUAGAGAUACAAAAAUUAAUAUUCGGGCAAAGUUGAGAUACUCUUUGGACAAUUAUAUAUAUAUAUAGUCUGUUUCUGGUGCGGACGUCCGUACGGAUUUCCGCCGUUUCUCCACCAUUCCAACGCCAGCGACACCGUUUCUUCUCCCCAGCGUNNNNN